rnacentral:rRNA from 1 species
AGAGUUUGAUCCUGGCUCAGGAUGAACGCUAGCUACAGGCUUAACACAUGCAAGUCGAGGGGCAGCAUCAUCAAAGCUUGCUUUGAUGGAUGGCGACCGGCGCACGGGUGAGUAACACGUAUCCAACCUGCCGACAACACUGGGAUAGCCUUUCGAAAGAAAGAUUAAUACCGGAUGGCAUAGUUUUCCCGCAUGGGAUAAUUAUUAAAGAAUUUCGGUUGUCGAUGGGGAUGCGUUCCAUUAGGCAGUUGGCGGGGUAACGGCCCACCAAACCUACGAUGGAUAGGGGUUCUGAGAGGAAGGUCCCCCACAUUGGAACUGAGACACGGUCCAAACUCCUACGGGAGGCAGCAGUGAGGAAUAUUGGUCAAUGGACGAGAGUCUGAACCAGCCAAGUAGCGUGAAGGAUGACUGCCCUAUGGGUUGUAAACUUCUUUUAUACGGGAAUAAAGUGAGCCACGUGUGGCUUUUUGUAUGUACCGUAUGAAUAAGGAUCGGCUAACUCCGUGCCAGCAGCCGCGGUAAUACGGAGGAUCCGAGCGUUAUCCGGAUUUAUUGGGUUUAAAGGGAGCGUAGGCGGGUUGUUAAGUCAGUUGUGAAAGUUUGCGGCUCAACCGUAAAAUUGCAGUUGAUACUGGCGACCUUGAGUGCAACAGAGGUAGGCGGAAUUCGUGGUGUAGCGGUGAAAUGCUUAGAUAUCACGAAGAACUCCGAUUGCGAAGGCAGCUUACUGGAUUGUAACUGACGCUGAUGCUCGAAAGUGUGGGUAUCAAACAGGAUUAGAUACCCUGGUAGUCCACACAGUAAACGAUGAAUACUCGCUGUUGGCGAUAUACAGUCAGCGGCCAAGCGAAAGCAUUAAGUAUUCCACCUGGGGAGUACGCCGGCAACGGUGAAACUCAAAGGAAUUGAC